GACGAACGCUGGUGGCGUGCUUAACACAUGCAAGUCGAACGGGAUUUAGUAAACAGAAGCCUCGGUGGAAGAUUACUAAUGAGAGUGGCGAACGGGUGAGUAACGCGUGAGCAACCUGCCUAUGACAGUGGGAUAGCCUCGGGAAACCGGGAUUAAUACCGCAUAAAAUCGUAGAAACACAUGUUUUAACGGUCAAAGAUUUAUCGGUCAUAGAUGGGCUCGCGUCUGAUUAGCUAGUUGGUGAGAUAACAGCCCACCAAGGCGACGAUCAGUAGCCGGUCUGAGAGGAUGAACGGCCACAUUGGAACUGAGACACGGUCCAAACUCCUACGGGAAGCAGCAGUGGGGAAUAUUGCACAAUGGGGGAAACCCUGAUGCAGCGACGCCGCGUGAACGAAGAAGGUAUUCGUAUCGUAAAGUUCUGUCCUAUGAGAAGAUAAUGACAGUACCAUAGAAGAAAGCUCCGGCUAAAUACGUG
rnacentral:rRNA from 1 species